rnacentral:tRNA from 1 species
AGGGGUGUCGCCAAGCGGUAAGGCAACGGGUUUUGAUCCCGUCAUGCGUUGGUUCGAAUCCAGCCACCCCUGCCA